rnacentral:rRNA from 1 species
GAUGAACGCUGGCGGCGUGCUUAACACAUGCAAGUCGAACGAAGCACUUAAGAUUGAUUCUUCGGAUGACGUCUUUUGUGCCUUAGUGGCGGACGGGUGAGUAACGCGUGGGUAACCUGCCUCACACAGGGGGAUAACAGUUAGAAAUGACUGCUAAUACCGCAUAACCCGAUAGGAUCGCAUGAUCCAGACGGAAAAGAUUUAUCGGUGUGAGAUGGACCCGCGUCUGAUUAGCUAGUUGGUGAGGUAACGGCCCACCAAGGCGACGAUCAGUAGCCGGCCUGAGAGGGUGAACGGCCACAUUGGGACUGAGACACGGCCCAAACUCCUACGGGAGGCAGCAGUGGGGAAUAUUGCACAAUGGGGGAAACCCUGAUGCAGCGACGCCGCGUGAGUGAAGAAGUAUUUCGGUAUGUAAAGCUCUAUCAGCAGGGAAGAAAAUGACGGUACCUGACUAAGAAGCCCCGGCUAACUACGUG